GGGAUUCCUGUCGGGUGUCUAAACCGACAGAAACUUAAAUUCCGGUCGGCUUCCAUGCCCACAGGAAUUGUUCCUAGGUGCAAAUUGGAACAGACGCGGGAGAAAACGAAGUUGGCACGGAGAUAUCCUGCGCUCAUUUUCUGGGGCCCACUAGCAAACUGAGAUACAUAUAAAAACAAAACACAAAACCCUAACCAAAUCUCCCAAUCCGUCGCCUCCCACUCCCCACCC
rnacentral:lncRNA from 1 species